ACUCCUACGGGAGGCAGCAGUGGGGAAUUUUGGACAAUGGGCGAAAGCCUGAUCCAGCAAUGCCGCGUGAGUGAAGAAGGCCUUCGGGUUGUAAAGCUCUUUUGUCAGGGAAGAAACGGUGAAAGCUAAUAUCUUUUGCUAAUGACGGUACCUGAAGAAUAAGCACCGGCUAACUACGUGCCAGCAGCCGCGGUAAUACGUAGGGUGCAAGCGUUAAUCGGAAUUACUGGGCGUAAAGCGUGCGCAGGCGGUGUUGUAAGUCUGAUGUGAAAUCCCCGGGCUCAACCUGGGAAUUGCAUUGGAGACUGCAAGGCUAGAAUCUGGCAGAGGGGGGUAGAAUUCCACGUGUAGCAGUGAAAUGCGUAGAUAUGUGGAGGAACACCGAUGGCGAAGGCAGCCCCCUGGGUCAAGAUUGACGCUCAUGCACGAAAGCGUGGGGAGCAAACAGGAUUAGAUACCCUUGUAGUCCCAUGAU
rnacentral:rRNA from 1 species